rnacentral:rRNA from 1 species
AUUGAACGCUGGCGGCAGGCCUAACACAUGCAAGUCGGACGGUAGCACAGAGGAGCUUGCUCCUCGGGUGACGAGUGGCGGACGGGUGAGUAAUGUCUGGGAAACUGCCCGAUGGAGGGGGAUAACUACUGGAAACGGUAGCUAAUACCGCAUAACGUCGCAAGACCAAAGUGGGGGACCUUCGGGCCUCACACCAUCGGAUGUGCCCAGAUGGGAUUAGCUGGUAGGCGGGGUAACGGCCCACCUAGGCGACGAUCCCUAGCUGGUCUGAGAGGAUGACCAGCCACACUGGAACUGAGACACGGUCCAGACUCCUACGGGAGGCAGCAGUGGGGAAUAUUGCAAAAUGGGCGCAAGCCUGAUGCAGCCAUGCCGCGUGUAUGAAGAAGGCCUUCGGGUUGUAAAGUACUUUCAGCGGGGAGGAAGGUGCUGAGGUUAAUAAGCUCAGCAAUUGACGUUACCCGCAGAAGAAGCACCGGCUAACUCCGUGCCAGCCGCCGCCGCCG